UACGAAGGGACCUAGCGUAGUUCGGAAUUACUGGGCUUAAAGAGUUCGUAGGUGGUUGAAAUAGUUGGUGGUGAAAUCCCAGAGCUUAACUCUGGAACUGCCAUCAAAACUUUUCAGCUAGAGUAUGAUAGAGGAAAGCAGAAUUUCUAGUGUAGAGGUGAAAUUCGUAGAUAUUAGAAAGAAUACCAAAUGCGAAGGCAGCUUUCUGGAUCAUUACUGACACUGAGGAACGAAAGCAUGGGUAGCGAAGAGG
rnacentral:rRNA from 1 species